rnacentral:rRNA from 1 species
GAGUUUGAUCGUGGCUCAGGAUGAACGCUGGCGGCGUGCUUAACACAUGCAAGUCGAGCGAAGCAGUUAAGUUGAUUUCUUCGGAUUGAUUCUUAACUGACUGAGCGGCGGACGGGUGAGUAACGCGUGGGUGACCUGCCCCAUACCGGGGGAUAACAGCUGGAAACGGCUGCUAAUACCGCAUAAGCGCACAGAGCUGCAUGGCUCGGUGUGAAAACUCCGGUGGUAUGGGAUGGGCCCGCGUCUGAUUAGGCAGUUGGCGGGUAACGGCCCACCAAACCGACGAUCAGUAGCCGGCCUGAGAGGGCGACCGGCCACAUUGGGACUGAGACACGGCCCAAACUCCUACGGGAGGCAGCAGUGGGGAAUAUUGCACAAUGGGGGAAACCCUGAUGCAGCGACGCCGCGUGAGCGAAGA